GACGAACCGUGCAAACGUUGUUCGGAAUCACUGGGCUUAAAGGGCGCGUAGGCGGGCCAGCCAGUCUGUGGUGAAAGCCUCCAGCUUAACUGGAGAAGUGCCGUGGAUACUGCUGGCCUCGAGGAGGGUAGGGGCAUCUGGAACGGUCGGUGGAGCGGUGAAAUGCGUUGAUAUCGACCGGAACUCCGGUGGCGAAGGCGAGGUGCUGGACCCUUUCUGACGCUGAGUGCGCGAAAGCCAGGGGAGCAAGCGGG
rnacentral:rRNA from 1 species